rnacentral:lncRNA from 1 species
ACCUAUUAAUUGUUUUGAUUAAUUUUUGAAAUAUUUUUUAUAAAAAAUAAUUAAAUAAAACACAUGUAAUGAUUUUAGCGAUACAAUUAACCCAUAAUAGUUCAAAAUGGAGACUUCUUAGGAAGCAUAAUAUCUUUAAAGAUCACAUUAGAAAAUGUACAUAUGACAACUAAAUCAAAUGACACUCGUUCCAUACUACACCUCGUUAAAGCACAAGAGGAAGCAGACAUAAUGAUAUUUGUAACACUGAUGAAUCACAUUAAUAUUCCAGGUAGCUUUUGAAAUCGAACAGAUCAACAUUAAGUUAUGGAGAAAAAAAAGACUAAAAAACAUAGGAGCUAUAGGGAAAAUUAUGGCAGCAUUGCAAAAGGGUGUAUAAAAAUAACAUGGCAAACAUAAAAAACUCCAUUACUACCUUUUCCUAGAGCUCCAUACAAUCAUACAUAGAGGAAAUAUUUCACCACUCUUUGUUAUGAAAAUAAAGUGACCAUCAUAUAAGAGCAUGGAUCAUGAAUCUCAUGUCCUGUUCCUAGAGGGUAUCAUUGCCAAAGGAUCUUCAGUUGCCCAAAUGAUCAAACAAGUCCAUGGACUUGAAGUUAUCAUUGGUUGAUUAGGAGCUCUAUAUCAUCUUCAUCAUCUUUAAUCACACAGCUGCAUACACAAAUUUCCAUUUGGAACUGAAAAUUGAACAACUAGCUAGCCAAAAAUAGCUGACCUAUACUAUGUGUGAAUGAUUAAUUGCUCAAAGAGAACAAAGGAGGGUUAGUUUUCUGAAGGUAUAAAGAGAAAAAAAAUUCCUUUUGGUGGGGUUGAGGGCAUAAGUUAGAGGAUCUUCUAAGCAUAUUCCUAUAGCAUUAACUCU